UAAAACAGAAAUGGACGACCUAGAGAAAGUCUGUAGCCAAGUUAGAUUACCAAAAAAAUUGACAACGUAGACACUUCAGACCCCACUGGAGACCAGGACAUAAAUUUGGAUGAAGACUUACUAGAAGAUUGAAAUACAGAACUAAGGACGAUUUUAUCUUGAGGACAAAAUUAUUCAUUUAUCUGCUUUGUAGAUAAAUGUUGGCAUUUCUUCCAUCUCAAAAAAAAGAAAUGAACUUUCACCAAGAUAAGAUUUAGUCUGUUAUAUGUCAUUUUGUAUCAUUUUGUUUACAUUGAACACUUGUUAUACUUUGAGAGUAUUUGAGGAGAGAGUUCAUCGGAAGAUAAUCACCUUCAAGGAUGAAAUAUUGUACAUUUUAUUUAAAUAUGGUGUUUUGUUUAACGUUAUAUAUAGGGAAGUGCUUGAAUGUAAUAAAUAUAUUUAUUUCAAAGUAUGAUCUUUGAAAUUAAAAAUGAUGAAAAUAUCAAAA